rnacentral:rRNA from 1 species
GACAGAGGGUGCAAACGUUGUUCGGAAUUACUGGGCGUAAAGCGAGUGUAGGCGGUCUGCUAAGUCGGGUGUGAAAGCCCCGGGCUCAACCCGGGAAGUGCACUCGAAACUGGCAGGCUAGAGUGUCGGAGAGGUUGGUGGAAUUCUCGGUGUAGAGGUGAAAUUCGUAGAUAUCGAGAGGAACACCGGUGGCGAAGGCGGCCAACUGGACGAACACUGACGCUGAGACUCGAAAGCGUGGGGAGCAAACAGG